rnacentral:lncRNA from 1 species
UGUAAGCCACAGGCCACAACACCCAGUUCCCCCUUCCCACUGCCAGAGACGCGAUUAGCCGCCUAAACCCUAAUCAAGCAUACGCGAUUUAUAUUCAGACUCGGUAUUAUCAUGUAUGUUACUCUGGUAUUCAGAUGCUUGCGACUGGGAUAUGAGGAGGCUGUGACCCAAUUCUUUCAAGAAGUAAGAUCUGUUUAUUUAAUUAGCACUGCACACUUGUAGUAAAUUGAAUAUUGUUUGGUCACUUUGUGUUGGAUCAAGAGUUUUUUGCUGGUGGCCAGACGUGCAGCAUAUUGAAGAAUGGAGGCAGGUUCAGACCGUAGCAGUGGAGUCUUUGUGAUUAUCCAGUUUUUGAUUUAAAAAGUUCGGUUCUUAAGGAAAGAACCGAACCGAACCGAAUUAUUUCGGUUCGGUUCCGGUUCGGUCCAUAUAUUAAUUUCGGUUCGGUUCGGUCCGAAAAAAAUUAACAAUUCGGUUUUCGGUUCUUUCGGUUCGGUCCGGUUCUGGACCGAACCGACCGAAUGCUCAGCCCUACUCGUACUAUUGUCUCCUUUCAUAAAUUAUUGUAAUAUGAUUUUUUAUAUUUCAUAUUAAUCAUCUUUAGCAACCUUACUUAAAACAACAUGUUUUUUUAGAUAUUAAGCACAUAUUAAAAGCUAAAAUCGUAAUCCAAAUUAAUUAUGUUUCUUCACAAUCUUUCGGACAAAAUUAAUGGAAUGCUCAUUCCAUCUUUUAAAAAUAGAAUGCUCAUUUCAUUUUUACAUCAUGUUUUUUCACAAUCUUUUUGACAAGAAAUCUAACUACACUCAUAUUUUGUCACUAUUAUUUCAUACUUUCUUCUUUCUCCUUAAAUUUUUUAAACAAUUUUUCAUUCCAUUCUCUCCUCACUCCGUUCCAUGAGUGAACAAAGCCUUAAUGUUUUUUUUUUUACGAAGAACCACUUAAUGUUUAGUUGUCAAAGAAGUAACCACACGUGACUUCUAAAAUCUAACCCAAACACAAAAAUUUCGUCUCAUUUUGUGUCAAUUUAUUAUGUUGUAUCCAAAACUGCCUGGUCUACACUGCAUUAUCAAAAUUUAACAGCUUCGUAUUCAGGAAAACAGCAUCUCUGCUCAAAUCAAACCGAUUUAUACCGUAAUCCCACAAAACACAAGAAGAUGACACAUACACAAAAGGGUCACCGAAGAUCAUGCAACUUUUGUUGCAAACAGAAGUAGUUUAUAAAAUGCAACUUUCUCACACCCCUUUCCAGUUUCAACUCUACUUUCU